rnacentral:rRNA from 1 species
GACGAACGCUGGCGGCGUGCUUAACACAUGCAAGUCGAACGGAAAGGCCCUGCUUUUGUGGGUUGCUCGAGUGGCGAACGGGUGAGUAACACGUGAGUAACCUGCCCUGGACUUUGGGAUAACUUCAGGAAACUGGGGCUAAUACCGGAUAGGAGCUCCGGCUGCAGGGUGGGGGUUGGAAAGUUUCGGCGGUUGGGGAUGGACUCGCGGCUUAUCAGCUUGUUGGUGGGGUAGUGGCUUACCAAGGCUUUGACGGGUAGCCGGCCUGAGAGGGUGACCGGCCACAUUGGGACUGAGAUACGGCCCAGACUCCUACGGGAGGCAGCAGUGGGGAAUAUUGCACAAUGGGCGGAAGCCUGAUGCAGCAACGCCGCGUGCGGGAUGACGGCCUUCGGGUUGUAAACCGCUUUCGCCUGUGACGAAGCGUGAGUGACGGUAAUGGGUAAAGAAGCACCGGCUAACUACGUG